UGGUGGUUCUCCCGCAACGCUACUCUGUUUACCAGGUCAGGUCCGGAAGGAAGCAGCCAAGGCAGAUGACGCGUGUGCCGGGAUGUAGCUGGCAGGG
rnacentral:SRP_RNA from 2 species